rnacentral:snRNA from 12 species
AUCCUUCUGUUCUAGGUCUCAUGCAGCAUUGAUAUGCAUNCAGCACUCUGGCCGUGCUGACCCCUGCAAAUUCCCCAAAUGUGGGAAUCUUGACUGCAUAUUUUAUGGUAGUGGGGGACUGCAUUCGCGCUCUCCCCUG